CAGUAGCCGCGGUAAUACGUAGUGUGCAAGCGUUGUCCGGAAUUAUUGGGCGUAAAGAGCUCGUAGGUGGUCUGUCACGUCGGCUGUGAAAACCUGGGGCUCAACCCCGGGCCUGCAGCCGAUACGGGCAGACUAGAGUUCGGCAGGGGAGACUGGAAUUCCUGGUGUAGCGGUGAAAUGCGCAGAUAUCAGGAGGAACACCGGUGGCGAAGGCGACUAUCUGGGCCAACACUGACACUGAGGCACGAAAGCGUGGGGAGCAAACAGGAUUAGAUACCCCCGUAGUCCCUGUCUCUUAUAC
rnacentral:rRNA from 1 species